UCACUUCUUUGAAAGUUUCCAAAAAGUAUAAUUAUACGAUAGUACGUCAUGAAAAACUGAACGUGAAAAUGUUUCAGGUCUGAUAGAUAGCGUAGUAUGUUCUGUUAUGUUUAUUGGUAAUCUUGUUCAGUGCUGUUGGAACGCAUGUCCCUCCUCGUCACUUCAUUUCUUUUCCGUUCGUGUACCGUCUAUUGGUUUGUAUUUGCAGCCGCCAAGAUCACCGUAACUACGCCGCCGAUACCCCUCCACCUCACCUUGUCAUAGUUUUAACGCGGUGCGACCUACUACGUUGGGGAGGAACGGCAGCAGCAGCAGCAGGCAAACCAUUCGACCAGGUUAACUGGUUUUUCAAACAGUUUUUUGUCGAUCGCCGGGCAAGCGGUCGUCGGACGUUAUAACCUUCUUUACUCGCUCUUAGAUUUAUCAAUAUUUUAUGUGUUGAUCGUUUUCGUCUGAACGUUAGCGAACAGAGUUAAUUUCUUUCGCAUAGUCUUAUAACGGUUUUUGUUGGUUUACCAUUUUUAUUAUUUAAUUGUUGCAGUUUUGCCGGUGAUUAGUGCGUAUAUUGUACUUGUAAUUAACCGACCAUUAACGCCAUGUUGGGGUUUAGACAUCGUUUUCGUCGCCGUCGUUAAUAAAUUGUCUAGACGUUGUGAUUAGGGCGAUAGUGUGUUACGUUAUCUAAUAGUUGUGAUUGAAGAGAAGCAAAAAUAAAAAUGCUGUGUGCCGAAGAGAUAGCUAGUAGCAUAGACGAGCAGGACGCUGGAGCAUUCAAGUCACCAAUACGACGUCUCGGUUCGACUAGGAAAAUUCUGUACUUCAACAGUAGAAAUUUAGGGUCACAAAUUGCAAUAGGCUCGUGCGCAUUUAUUAACUACAGGUCUGCGGCCUUUAUGUUCCUGUGAAAUAUAAUACGGAUACAGCAUUCCUCUUAGAAAGCAAUGACACACAAUAAUAGAUUUCGGUGUAAAAUCACAAUGAUGUCGCACUUCUCACAAAAUAUGUCUCGUCGGUUAUUUCAAUCUGAACGUUUUGCACCUUACGUUGUAUUAAACAAUUAAUUGUGAGAUAAAAAUUAUCUAACGUCUUUUUAUUAAAGUAAUUAGUUUUAUUGUUGUAUCCAUUUUUAUUUUUUUCGUUGCAUUCUGAACACCAAGACUGUAUGGGAAGACCUUCGAAGAUACUCAAAGGAUUUAGUCGGAUUGCUUCUAUUGUUUUAAUACAUUUUUAAAAGAAUUAAAUGUAUACUCUGUCGUUUCAUUUAUACACAGUUUACACCUUUCAAAUUAAUUAAAUACUUGAUUAAAUCAUGAUUGGUCAUGGUAUCUCGUAUAAUUAACUAGAGAAAUUAUCAGUGAUUCAUUGAAUCAAACUGUACUCGAGAUACAGAAAAUUGUUAAUUUUCUCAUGACGAGUGUACUCUUAUCAUGCAAGGUUAAAA